GCAUCGGGUGAUUGUGGGGAAAUCUCCACAGUUAAGCGCCCUUGAGCCAGAGGUGUCUUGGGAUGGGUGACCACCUAGGAAGUCCUGGUUACCAGGUGCA
rnacentral:rRNA from 1 species